CGGCGGCGACGGCCCCACAGCGCCAGCGCUCUACGCCCCACUGCAGCCAUUCCCACCCCACGCCGCCGCCGCCGCCGCCCCAUUGGCUCCUCCCGCCCCCCCCAGCGGCAGCCAGGCUCCGCCCCACGGUGCCCCAAGCCCCGCCCAGCCCCCAGCGGGCUUCCACGUGGCCACGCCCCCGGGGGGAGGGGCCCAAUCGCCGCCGGGUUCCUUGGCUCCGCCCACCGGCGCUCCGCCCCCUCAAGCCCCGCCCCCUCCGGGUGCCGCGGCUCCGCCCACCGCCAUAUAUGGACUGCAGCAGCCCCUCCCCCACGGCUAUGGCGGCGUCCGCCACGUG